GACGAACGCUGGCGGCGUGCUUAACACAUGCAAGUCGAACGGAAAGGCCCUGCUUUUGUGGGGUGCUCGAGUGGCGAACGGGUGAGUAACACGUGAGUAACCUGCCCUUUACUUUGGGAUAACUUCAGGAAACUGGGGCUAAUACCGGAUAGGAGCUCCUGCUGCAUGGUGGUGGUUGGAAUGUUUCGGCGGUUGGGGAUGGACUCGCGGCUUAUCAGCUUGUUGGUGGGGUAGUGGCUUACCAAGGCUUUGACGGGUAGCCGGCCUGAGAGGGUGACCGGAAACAUGGGGACUGAGAGACGGACAAGAAUCCAAAGGGAGGCAGCAGUGGGGAAUAUUGCAAAAUGGGAGGAAGCCAGAUGCAGAAACGCCGCGUGCGGGAUGACGGCCUUCGGGGUGUAAAACGCUGUAGCCUGUGACGAAGCGUGAGUGACGGUAAUGGGUAAAGAAGCACCGGCUAACUACGUG
rnacentral:rRNA from 1 species